GUAUGCGGUAGGGAAAGAGGAGCGAGGAACUACAGAUGGCUGAGGAUGAGCAGAAGCAAUAAUUGAUUCGGUUGUUAGCCGUCGGGAGGAGCAUGCCUGUAGAAGACGAACAAAUCAAAGACAUCCAGUGCCUAAUCGAGGGAAUUUUAUCAGUUUGAUCCUUGCAUUUAGUACGACACAAGCUGAUGAUUCUGAAGAUCUCUGUUGUUGUAUCUUCUCAGUAAGGGUAUUGGCUAUUACAGAAGGAGUAUUCCAUAGAGAAAAUUCAUCCAGAGAGCACAUAACUUGGCAAAAUGAAAUUCUGGACCAGCAUCACAUGAAAUUGUGAAGGCAUUACUGGACACACAAUCUAGAGUAACUCAAGUGAGCAACAAAGCUGGCAGGUCCGACUUUUGAUGUCCCUUGAAACUUGUUUGAAGAAUGGGCAGGGAUAAAAAAGAUUAUAAGCCAAAUCCCCUAUUUGACCGUGUUAUAGAUGUCCUUUUUUAUUCUUCACGCUGAACACAAAAUGAACUGCUCUACAGCUUCAUGUCUUCAAGAUAAAUCAUGUCUUCCAUUAUCCGCGCAAGUAGUAGGAGUAAAUUGGUGCCUAAUUAGAAAUAUUUAUGUAGUGGUGUCGAUGUGUUCACUGCUCUUUCUGGUGCUGUUGGAGCUCUAUAUGGUACACUGCAUGGUGGCGCAAAUAAGGGUUUUAUAGAACCCCAAGUACCGGUUGCCGUACUUCCGCAACAAGGCCAUAGCACCCAUGUAGCGACGCAUCUUGUCACGUGGACCACCGAUAAAUGUUCCCGGCAACAUGAGAUUCAAUACAGUAGAGCAUUGGACGCUUGGUAGCACCCCAGAGCAAGUGGUAAGGGUGAAUACAUGUACAGAGUAUAGAGUAUGGACCUGGAAUCAUUUUGCUCGGACGGGUAGAAGCCUUGUACAUAUGGUUAUAGCAUGAAAUUAGCUGAAGUCGACGACAACAUCAACAGAUUUCUCUUCCCAGGAUCUUCCCUUGAAGGCGAUGCCGCCAAGAAAGCGGGGAAAAAGGGGGUGACCACCGCUACCAAGCAGCAGCAACCGCAACCGCCCGACCCGCCUGGACCUGACGCUCCCGUGCAGGAGAAGCUGCGGUGGCUUGCUGACCAAGAGAAGGUGGUUAUUGAGGGGCUUGAUCGUGCU